rnacentral:rRNA from 1 species
CGGCAAUGGAGGAAACUCUGACCGAAAGCAACGCCGCCGUGAAUGACGAAAAAGUACUUUGGUAUGUUAAAGUUCUUUUAUCAAGGAAGAAAAGCAAAAUGGCGAACCAUUUGUUUGCCGGUACUUGAUGUUAAUAAGCCCCGGCUAAUUAUGUGCCAGCAGCCGCGGUUAGACAUAAGGGGCAAGUGUUAUCCGGAAUUAUUGGGCGUAAAGGGUGGGCGUAGGCGGUCUAGUAAGUCAGUGGUGUAAUGGCAACGCUUAACGUUGUCCGGCUAUUGAAACUGCUAAACUUGAGUUAGAUAGAGGCGAGUGGAAUUCCAUGUGUAGCGGUAAAAUGCGUAAAUAUAUGGAGGAACACCAGAGGCGUAGGCGGCUCGCUGGGUCUUAACUGACGCUGAGGCACGAAAGCGUGGGGAGCAAACAGGAUUAGAUACCCUGGUAGUCCACGCCGUAAACGAUGAGUACUAAGUGUCGGGUUAAACCGGUACUGAAGUUAACACAUUAAGUACUCCGCCUGAGUAGUACGUACGCAAGUAUGAAACUUAAAGGAAUUGACGGGACUCCGCACAAGCGGUGGAUCAUGUUGUUUAAUUCGAAGAUACCCGAAAAACCUUACCAGGUCUUGACAUGUUUUUGCAAAAUGAUAGCUAAUAUCGUGGAGGUUACCAGAAACACAGGUGGUGCAUGGUUGUCGUCAGCUCGUGUCGUGAGAUGUUAGGUUAAGUCCUAAAACGAGCGAAACCCUUAUCGUUAGUUGCCAGCACGUUAUGGUGGGUAGGGACUUUAACGAGAAACUGCCAGUGAUAAAUUGGAGGAAGGUGAGGAUCACGUCAAAUCAGCAUGCCCCUUAUGACCUGGGCUACAAACGUGAUACAAUGGCUGUUACAAAGAAA